GACGAACGCUGGCGGCGUGCUUAACACAUGCAAGUCGAACGAGUGGCGAACGGGUGAGUAACACGUGGGUUACCUGCCCUGCACUUCGGGAUAAGCCUGGGAAACUGGGUCUAAUACCGGUUAGUGUGGGAUGGUCCCGCGGCCUAUCAGCUUGUUGGUGGGGUAAUGGCUACAAAGGCGCCACGGGUAGCCGGCCUGAGAGGAUGAUCAGCCACACUGGGACUGAGACACGGCCCAGACUCCUACGGGAGGCAGCAGUGGGGAAUAUUGGACAAUGGGCGCAAGCCUGAUGGAGCCAUGCCGCGUGUGUGAAGAAGGCCUUAGGGUUGUAAAGUACUUUCAGCGGGGAGGCGUUACCCGCAGAAGAAGCACCGGCUAACUCCGUGCCAGCCGCCGCGGUAAUUC
rnacentral:rRNA from 1 species